AAUGAACGUUGGCGGCAUGGAUUAGGCAUGCAAGUCGAGCGAGAAGUGUAGCAAUACACGGAAAGCGGCGGAAGGGAGAGUAAUACGUGGGAAUCUGCCCUUAGACCUGGGAUAGCCACGGGAAACUGUGGGUAAUGCCCGAUAAUAUCUGCGGAUCAAAGGUGUGAUUCCGCCUUGGGAGCGGACUGCGUUGUACUAGCUAGUUGGUAGGGUAAUGGCCUACCAAGGCAAUGAUGCAUAGCAGGCGUGAGAGCGUGGCCUGCCUCACUGGGACUGAGACACUGCCCGGACACCUACGGGUGGCUGCAGUCGAGAAUCUUCGGCAAUGGGCGAAAGCCUGACCGAGCGAUGCCGCGUGCGGGAUGAAGGCCCUCGGGUUGUAAACCGCUGUCGUAGGGGAGAAAGGACCGUUGAAGAGACGGUUUUGAUCUAUCCUAGGAGGAAGUCCGGGCUAAGUUCGUGCCAGCCGCCGCGGUAACAC
rnacentral:rRNA from 1 species